rnacentral:rRNA from 1 species
CCUGGUUGAUCCUGCCAGUAGUCAUAUGCUUGUCUCAAAGAUUAAGCCAUGCAUGUCUAAGCACAAGCCCUUGAAUGGCAAAGCCGCACAUGGCUCAUUACAACAGCCAUAGUUUAUUAGAUCGUACUUUCCUACUUGGAUAACUGUGGUAAUUCUAGAACUAAUACACGCAGCAAAGCUCGGACUCACGAACGAGCGCAUUUAUUAGAGCAAAACCAAUCGGGUUUCGGCCCGUCCUUUGGUGAAUCUGAAUAACUCUGCAGAUCGCACGGUCUCGCACCGGCGACGCAUCUUUCAAAUGUCUGCCUUAUCAACUUUCGAUGGUAGUUUAUACGCCUACCAUGGUUGUAACGGGUAACGGAGAAUAAGGGUUCGACUCCGGAGAGGGAGCCUGAGAAACGGCUACCACAUCCAAGGAAGGCAGCAGGCACGCAAAUUACCCACUCCCGGCACGGGGAGGUAGUGACGAAAAAUAACGAGGCGGUUCUCUACGAGGCCCGCCAUCGGAAUGGGUACAAUUUAAAUCCUUUAACGAGGAUCUAUUGGAGGGCAAGUCUGGUGCCAGCAGCCGCGGUAAUUCCAGCUCCAAUAGCGUAUAUUAAAGUUGUUGCGGUUAAAAAGCUCGUAGUUGGAUCUGCGGUCAAGGGAAGUGGUCCUCCGACGGAUGGUUACUGCUUUUCCUGACCUAACUACUUCGGUUUUCCCUUGAUGCUCUUAACCGGGUGUCUUGGGCGACCGAAACGUUUACUUUGAAAAAUUAGAGUGCUCAAAGCAGCGUCAGCUGAAUAGUGUGCAUGGAAUAUAAAAGAGGAUCUCGGUCUAUUUGUUGUAUUGGAUUGAGAUAUGAUCGACGGGAUAGACGGGGCAUUCG